rnacentral:rRNA from 1 species
UACGUAGGGGGCUAGCGUUGUCCGGAUUUAUUGGGCGUAAAGAGCGUGUAGGCGGCCAGAUAGGUCUGCUGUGAAAACUCGAGGCUCAACCUCGAGCUGUCGGCGGAAACCAUCUGGCUAGAGUCCGGAAGAGGAGAGUGGAAUUCCCGGUGUAGCGGUGGAAUGCGCAGAUAUCAGGAGGAACACCAAUAGCGAAGGCAGCUCGCUGGGACGGUACUGACGCUAAGGCGCGAAAGCGUGGGGAGCGAACAGG